UGAGGAAUAUUGGUCAAUGGGCGAAAGCCUGAACCAGCCAAGUAGCGUGCAGGAUGACGGCCCUAUGGGUUGUAAACUGCUUUUCCAGGGAGAGAAACUUGCGUACGCGUUGCGCAAUUGACGGUACCCUGGGAAUAAGCAUCGGCUAACUCCGUGCCAGCAGCCGCGGUAAUACGGAGGAUGCGAGCGUUAUCCGGAUUUAUUGGGUUUAAAGGGUGCGUAGGCGGAUUAAUAAGUCAGUGGUGAAAACCUGCAGCUUAACUGUAGAACUGCCAUUGAUACUGUUAGUCUUGAGUACGGUCAAGGUAGGCGGAAUGUGUAAUGUAGCGGUGAAAUGCUUAGAUAUUACACAGAACACCGAUUGCGAAGGCAGCUUACUGGGCCAUUACUGACGCUGAUGCACGAAAGCGUGGGGAGCGAACA
rnacentral:rRNA from 1 species